GGGGCGGGCGCGCGGCCGGCGGGUACCGCGGUCCCGGGGGCCCUCUGCAUGCCCGCCGGAUUCUAGCGCCCUGCCCUCGCGGAGCGCACGGUCUAGUGAAUUAGAGGGAAGCCCGGGAGUGAGCAUCAUGUUUAUUGAGCCAACAUUUAUCUCGGGGCGAGGUAUUUCUGUUUCCAGAAGACCCGUUGACCUGUGCGUGGGCGGCCUCCCUCUUACGCUAGGUGAGACCUUGGAUGUUUUGCCCAGGCUGUAAGACCUGGCAAGCAGAGGGCCCUCGGGAAAUGUUUGUUGAGUGAAUGCACGAUGAAACGGAGAAGCCCACUCGAAGAUGUACACACACGUGACAACAGAGCAGAGGCUGAAGAGAUGCGUCUACAGGCCAACGCGCGCCGUGAUUGCUGGUGGCACGGGAAACAGAGAAAGGCACGUGUGGAACAGAUUCUCCCUUCGUGCGUUCAGAGCCCUCCUGACACCUUGACUUUGGAUUUCUGGCCUCCAGAACCAUGAGGGAAUACAUUUCUGUUGCCUUAAGCCACCCAGUCUGUGGUCAUUGGCUGCGGCAGCCCUCGGAGACUCACGCAGGUGGAGGUACUGAGCAGGACAGAGCCCUGAGCACAUGAAAUCCCACGGCCUGUCACUCUUGGGUCUGGGAACCACCUUCAGAGCCAGCCGAGGGUCCUGGGACUGCUGGGUGUCAUUCCCGGACCCAGGCGUGGGAGGCAGCCCCGUACCCGCUCUGGGCUUCAGUUGCUCAGCCGAGAGAGGGUUCUUCCACUUACACCACCACCCUCCCCCCACCCAACUGGGAACAGAACCAGCACCCGCCUUCCUGGCCUCUCCUGGCCAUCUCUGGAGCCUGGGCUCUUUCCCUCAGCAAGCAGCCAGGCUAGGACCCCACCAUCCCCAGCUGCAUCUCAGAGGCGCCGUCUGGUCUCCAACAUCCCUCAAAAGCUAGUGUCCCUGCCCAGUCCUCCUCUCCACCUCCGUUUGCUUCUCUAGGGACUGGCCACCUCCCAGCCUGACGCCAGCUCCAAGAGGGCAGGCCGCUGUCUGCAUCGUUCCCCGCCGUGUCCCCAGCGCCUGGCACAGGGAAGACACUCGGUCCAUGUGUGCUGAGUGAGGGAACAAACACACCAAUGAGCCCAUUCCAGAAGCCUGGGAUUGGGGGUGUGGAGGGAUCCUCGUGGAGACCCGAGGAACUCAGGGUUUCUGUGGAUUCAAGCGGGGGGUUGCCCUUCACCUCAAAGCCAGGCUGCGGUGGGGGGGGGCGGUUAUCGUGCAGGCCCCCCACGCCCACCUCCACCCAAACUGGAGGCUCCGGGAAACUUGAAAGAAAACAUCGACACAACAAACAGAGGAAGCGCAGGAGACUUGGGGCCUGCAGACUUUCUCGUGUUGGCUGAGCCCGACGGGCCCGCACUCUCGGCUUGGCAGGGUUCCUUUGGGCUCACCCUCUGCAGGUGGUGCCUUCUUCACAGGCAUCGGUUGGCGGGGGGGUGGGGGGCAGAGGGCAGUCCAGACAAACCCCGCGUUCGUGUCCUGCACACAUCACACGUCUGUCAGCGACAGGCCCCCCUGGGCCUCAGUUUCUUCAGCUCUAAGAUGGGCGUCACGCUAGCAGCUUCCUUAUAGAGGCUCUGGCGAGGCUGCAGGAGGGCACAGAAAGUGCUGAGGUCGUCCUCACACUGAGUGGGAGCUCGGUAAAUGCAAACUCCUGCAAUUUUCGGGUUUUUGGUGUUUUUUUUUUUACCAACACGCCUCAGUCUCCAGCCUACACAGCGGCCUGAGGCCAGGUGGGGAGGUGGGGACCUUGGCAGCCCUCCCACCCAGGCUCCUUCAGGGGUUCCCAUUGCCUGGGGGACAGAGUCCCAAACCCCUCUGUUGGAGAUGCCCUCCCGACCCCCAGCCAGUGUGGAAAGGCCCGGCUUGCCCCAGCCAUGUGCCCUCUCAGGGGCCCCCAGCUCUGUGUGGGCCUGGGACCCCGGGCCGUCUGCUGAGACCUAAGGCCCCUCCUCAGACAGCGGUUUCAAACAGUAAAAUGACUAGAAAUGCAAAGGAA